rnacentral:rRNA from 1 species
AUUGAACGCUGGCGGCAGGCUUAACACAUGCAAGUCGAGCGGAGAUGAGGUGCUUGCACCUUAUCUUAGCGGCGGACGGGUGAGUAAUGCUUAGGAAUCUGCCUAUUAGUGGGGGACAACAUUCCGAAAGGAAUGCUAAUACCGCAUACGCCCUACGGGGGAAAGCAGGGGAUCUUCGGACCUUGCGCUAAUAGAUGAGCUAAGGUCGGAUUAGCUAGUGGGUGGGGUAAAGGCAUACCAAGGCGACGAUCUGCAGCGGGUCUGAGAGGAUGAUCCGCCACACUGGGACUGAGACACGGCCCAGACUCCUACGGGAGGCAGCAGUGGGGAAUAUUGGACAAUGGGCGGAAGCCUGAUCCAGCCAUGCCGCGUGUGUGAAGAAGGCCUUUUGGUUGUAAAGCACUUUAAGCGAGGAGGAGGCUACCUGGAUUAAUACUCUAGGAUAGUGGACGUUACUCGCAGAAUAAGCACCGGCUAACUCUGUGCCAGCCGCCGCCGUAAGAC